rnacentral:rRNA from 1 species
GAGCGAAGGGGGCUAGCGUUGUUCGGAAUUACUGGGCGUAAAGCGAGUGUAGGUGGUUGUCCAAGUUGGAUGUGAAAGCCUUGAGCUCAACUCAAGAAAUGCAUUCAGGACUGGGCGGCUAGAGGACCGGAGAGGAUAGUGGAAUUCCCAGUGUAGUGGUGAAAUACGUAGAGAUUGGGAAGAACACCAGUGGCGAAGGCGGCUAUCUGGACGGUUUCUGACACUAAGACUCGAAAGCGUGGGGAGCAAACAGG